GGAUGAACGCUGGCGGCGUGCCUAAUACAUGCACGUCGAGCGAACAGACGAGGAGCUUGCUCCUCUGACGUUAGCGGCGGACGGGUGAGUAACACGUGGAUAACCUACCUAUACGACUGGGAUAACUUCGGGAAACCGGAGCUAAUACCGGAGAAUAUAUUGAACCGCAUGGUUCAAUAGUGAAAGACGGUUUUGCUGUCACUUAUAGAUGGAUCCGCGCCGCAUUAGCUAGUUGGUAAGGUAACGGCUUACCAAGGCAACGAUGCGUAGCCGACCUGAGAGGGUGAUCGGCCACACUGGAACUGAGACACGGUCCAGACUCCUACGGGAGGCAGCAGUAGGGAAUCUUCCGCAAUGGGCCAAAUCCUGACGGAGCAACGCCGCGUGAGUGAUGAAGGUCUUCGGAUCGUAAAACUCUGUUAUUAGGGAAGAACAAAUGUGUAAGUAACUAUGCACGUCUUGACGGUACCUAAUCAGAAAGCCACGGCUAACUACGUG
rnacentral:rRNA from 1 species